rnacentral:rRNA from 1 species
GGGGAAUAUUGGCCAAUGGGCGAAAGCCUGAUCCAGCCGUGCCGCGUGUGUGAAGAAGGUCUUCGGAUUGUAAAGCACUUUAAGUUGGGAGGAAUGGCAGUAAGUUACUACCUUUCUGUUUUGACGUUACCAACAGAAUAAGCACCGGCUACCUUCGUGCCAGCAGCCGCGGUAAUACGAAGGGUGCAAGCGUUAAUCGGAAUUACUGGGCGUAAAGCGCGCGUAGGUGGUUCGUUAAGUUGGAUGUGAAAGCCCCGGGCUCAACCUGGGAACUGCAUUCAAAACUGGCGAGCUAGAGUACGGUAGAGGGUGGUGGAAUUUCCUGUGUAGCGGUGAAAUGCGUAGAUAUAGGAAUGAACACCAGUGGCGAAGGCGACCACCUCGACUGAUACUGACACUGAGGUGCGAAAGCGUGGGGAGCAAACA